rnacentral:RNase_P_RNA from 1 species
CCAGCAAGCUGAGUGAUUGCCGCCAAGUCUGACUUGGUGGAGGAAAGUCCGAACUCUCACUUCUUUUGAAGUUAAAAGGGUAGCGGGUAACGCCCGUCCGGAGUAAUCCGAGAGGUGCGAACAGUGACGAUGCCUCCGACGUCACGUCGGAGGAGUGAAACGGCUAAAUCCUUGCCUGGGAGCAAGAGCAAACCGGAAGUUCUGGGAUUCAUCUUGGAGCUUUCGUGAAAAGGUAGCUCGCUUGAGUCCGACGGCAACGUCGAACCCAGAUAGAUAAUCACAAUAAUCACCUUGAUUUUUCCAACACGGGGUGAUUAUAACAGAAUUCGGCUUACAGGCUUGCUGGGACA